rnacentral:rRNA from 1 species
UCCAGACUCCUACGGGAGGCAGCAGUGGGGGAUAUUGCACAAUGGGGGAAACCCUGAUGCAGCGACGCCGCGUGAGUGAAGAAGUAUUUCGGUAUGUAAAGCUCUAUCAGCAGGGAAGAAAAAAGACGGUACCUGACUAAGAAGCCCCGGCUAACUACGUGCCAGCAGCCGCGGUAAUACGUAGGGGGCAAGCGUUAUCCGGAUUUACUGGGUGUAAAGGGGGCGCAGACGGCAGCGCAAGCCAGGAGUGAAAGCCCGGGGCCCAACCCCGGGACUGCUCUUGGAACUGCGCGGCUGGAGUGCAGGAGGGGCAGGCGGAAUUCCUGGUGUAGCGGUGAAAUGCGUAGAUAUCAGGAGGAACACCGGUGGCGAAGGCGGCCUGCUGGACUGCAACUGACGUUGAGGCCCGAAAGCGUGGGGAGCAAACAGGAUUAGAUACCCCUGUAAG